UGAAUUCAAGCCAAAUGAGGAAGUGAUAUAGUGAUUUUGUGCAUUGGUGUAGAUCUGACCAUAAAAUCAGUUUGUACACAUUUCAAAUGACCAAACAAAGUGGUUCUGAGGUUCUAAAUGCACAAAAACCAGCAACUAUGCAAUUUCACACUUCCACUUGCCAAAUUAUGCAGAAAANNGUAUNAAAACUGCAGCAGUACNAAUAAUUGAUUCUUGACUGGAUUCAAAUUGGUUUAAGCACAAGAAAUUCAGAAGAAUUUGAUCUAGAACUAGCUCUAGAAAAUUAAGCUAGCAGAAGUUGAAUGCCUACUGAAAUUGCAAAGCUUAGAACACGGUGCAGAGUUC
rnacentral:lncRNA from 1 species